rnacentral:tRNA from 1 species
UGUGGCUCAAGUGGUAGAGCGCUUGCUUUGGGAGCAAGAUGUUGCAGGUUCAAGUCCUGUCACCC